rnacentral:rRNA from 1 species
CCAAGGAGUCUAACAUGUGCGCGAGUCAAGGGGCUCGACGAAACCCAGAGGCGCAAUGAAAGUGAAGGCCGGCCCUCGUCGGGUCGGUCACCCGGUGGGAUCCCCGUCGCUUCUCGAGGCGCGGGGCGCACCACCGGCCCGUCUCGUCCGCACCCGUCGGUGAGGCGGAGCAAGAGCGCACACGUUGGGACCCGAAAGAUGGUGAACUAUGCCUGAGCAGGACGAAGCCAGAGGAAACUCUGGUGGAAGUCCGCAGCGAUUCUGACGUGCAAAUCGAUCGUCAGACUUGGGUAUAGGGGCGAAAGACUAAUCGAACCAUCUAGUAGCUGGUUCCCUCCGAAGUUUCCCUCAGGAUAGCUGGCACUCGCCGACACGAAGUUUUUUCCGGUAAAGCGAAUGACUAGAGGCCUUGGGGACGAAACGUCCUCAACCUAUUCUCAAACUUUAAAUGGGGAAGAAGCCCGGCUCGCUCGACGCACUCCGGUGGAGCCGGGCAUCGAAUUCGAGUGCCAAGUGGGCCACUUUUGGUAAGCAGACG